GUGGGGAAUAUUGGACAAUGGGGGGAACCCUGAUCCAGCCAUGCCACGUGUGUGAAGAAGGCCUUUUGGUUGUAAAGCACUUUAAGCGAGGAGGAGGCUACCGAGAUUAAUACUCUUGGAUAGUGGACGUUACUCGCAGAAUAAGCACCGGCUAACUCUGUACCAGCAGCCGCGGUAAUACAGAGGGUGCAAGCGUUAAUCGGAUUUACUGGGCGUAAAGCGCGCGUAGGUGGCCAAUUAAGUCAAAUGUGAAAUCCCCGAGCUUAACUUGGGAAUUGCAUUAGAUACUGGUUGGCUAGAGUAUGGGAGAGGAUGGUAGAAUUCCAGGUGUAGCGGUGAAAUGCGUAGAGAUCUGGAGGAAUACCGAUGGCGAAGGCAGCCAUCUGGCCUAAUACUGACACUGAGGUGCGAAAGCAUGGGGAGCAAACAGGAUUAGAAACCCCGGUAGUCC
rnacentral:rRNA from 1 species